UACGUAGGUGGCAAGCGUUGUCCGGAUUUAUUGGGUUUAAAGGGUGCGUAGGCGGUCCUAUAAGUCAGUGCUGAAAUAUCCCGGCUUAACCGGGAGGGUGGCAUUGAUACUGUAGGACUUGAGUAGAGUUGAGGUUGGCGGAAUUGACGGUGUAGCGGUGAAAUGCUUAGAUAUCGUCAAGAACACCGAUAGUGAAGACAGCUAACUAAGCUCUAACUGACGCUGAGGCACGAAAGUGUGGGGAUCAAACAGG
rnacentral:rRNA from 1 species